GAUGAACGCUGGCGGCGUGCCUAAUACAUGCAAGUCGAGCGAACAGACGAGGAGCUUGCUCCUCUGACGUUAGCGGCGGACGGGUGAGUAACACGUGGAUAACCUACCUAUAAGACUGGGAUAACUUCGGGAAACCGGAGCUAAUACCGGAUAAUAUAUUGAACCGCAUGGUUCAAUAGUGAAAGACGGUUUUGCUGUCACUUAUAGAUGGAUCCGCGCCGCAUUAGCUAGUUGGUAAGGUAACGGCUUACCAAGGCGACGAUGCGUAGCCGACCUGAGAAGGUGAUCGGCCACACUGGAACUGAGACACGGUCCAGACUCCUACGGGAGGCAGCAGUAGGGAAUCUUCCGCAAUGGGCGAAAGCCUGACGGAGCAACGCCGCGUGAGUGAUGAAGGUCUUCGGAUCGUAAAACUCUGUUAUUAGGGAAGAACAAAUGUGUAAGUAACGAUGCACGUCUUGACGGUACCUAAGCAGAAAGCCACGGCUAACUACGU
rnacentral:rRNA from 1 species